UCGUGACCCUGACCAAAAUAGACCGUGCACGCGUCAUCCAGCCUGCCGGCGGCGGCUCCGUCCGUCGCUCGGCCAAGUCCUCGACAACCUCCUCUCCUCGGAGUGGGGGCUCGGGGUAAAAGAACCCACGACGCCUAAGGCGUCAAGGAACACUGUGCCUAGCCCGGGGACGCGGACGGCUUGCUGGCCGCCCCCUGUGCUGCAAUGCUAUUUAAUCCACACGACUCUCGGCAACGGAUAUCUCGGCUCUCGCAUCGAUGAAGAACGUAGCGAAAUGCGAUACCUGGUGUGAAUUGCAGAAUCCCGCGAACCAUCGAGUCUUUGAACGCAAGUUGCGCCCGAGGCCAUUCGGCUGAGGGCACGCCUGCCUGGGCGUCACGCAAAACACGCUCCCACACCCUCAUCGGGUAGCGGGACGCGGCAUGUGGCCCCCCGUAGCGCAAGCUGCGGUGGGCCGAAGAUAUGGCUGCCGGCGUAUCGUGCCGGACACAGCGCGUGGUGGGCGUCCUCGCUUUACUUACCGCAGUGCAUCCGGGGCGUAGCCGACGUGAUGGCCUUUAAGGACCCUUUGAACGGUGCGCACGACGCUCCGACC
rnacentral:misc_RNA from 1 species